UACAGCCUAUAGAAUUGCAAACGUCAUAGCUAAGAGCAGAGGAGGAAUCUAAAUAACCACUGGCAAGGAACACCUCAAGAAGAUACUGGUGUGGAACUCAGAUAUUUAGAUCCCGUAAAAUGACAUGUCCAUCCCAAAUUACAAAUAAAAGACACUGGCUUAGCUGUAGCUCGCUAAACAGGAAAGUAAUAUGGUAGUAGAAAUUUUACUGCACUCUCUUAGAAUAAUUACUACAUCGCUACUGACAUUUGUGAUGGGACAAGGUAAAAAGAUAUUUAAAAAACUGGUGGAGAAAUAAAAGUACUGAGAAGAAAUUGACCUGAGAUAGGAAAGGUGCUAGGGAAAGGCAUAAACUAAAAACUUAGAUAGGUGCUUGAAAGUAAUUCAAAAUGUAGCAAAAUGCCACAAGAGAAUUAAUUAACUUACU
rnacentral:lncRNA from 1 species